ACCAUCCACGGUUCGUCAAUCUCUCAAAAUUCGACGUUAUAUCGAAGGCCUGUACGACUCAAAAAUAUAAGAGUCGUCAAUUACCUUGAAAAAUUUCAAAGAAGAUGUUCGCGUGCAAGCAGAAUACUUUGCGGGUUCGAGCCACCAUUCAAUUUGGUCGCAUGUAGAACCGAAAGGAGCCUUCCAAAUCUCCAUCAGAUAUAUUACAUUUCUGCGCAAAAUAAACAGAUUUACCUAAAGGAACAAGAAAGUAUGUACCUUUUAUGUUGCUGCAAGCUACAAAGGAAACGCGAGAUCGCGAGAUUUCAAGGAAAGCGUCGUCGAUCGGUGGUAAUCAAUUGAUCACGGGUCGAUCGGAUAGUUGAUUGGCGUUCAAUUAAGGUUCGACUGGAAAAAAAGCAGGUCGAGGUAAAGACUCCUCUGGACAUCUCCGAUACUCCACUUAGUUACCAUUUGUCGUGGCG
rnacentral:misc_RNA from 1 species